rnacentral:rRNA from 1 species
CACGUAGGGGGCGAGCGUUGUCCGGAUUUAUUGGGCGUAAAGAGCUCGUAGGCGGCUCAGUAAGUCGGGUGUGAAAACUCCAGGCUCAACCUGGAGACGCCACCUGAUACUGCUGUGGCUAGAGUCCGGUAGGGGAGCAUGGAAUUCCUGGUGUAGCGGUGGAAUGCGUAGAUAUCUGGAGGAACACCGGUGGCGAAGGCGGCAUCCUGGACCAACACUGACGCUGAGUGAGCGAAAGCCAGGGGAGCAAACGGG